GGCUGAGUGGCAGAGUGGCUAUGCAGCGGAUUGCAAAUUCGUUUCACGUCGGUUCAAAUCCGGCCUCAGCCU
rnacentral:tRNA from 1 species